UAAUUUUAAGGUUUUUGUUUUAAGUUUUCAUUGAAUCUUUUCUUCUUUCUUGAUUUCUGUUAAUUAGGAAUUCAUUGCCUGAUCAGCUGUUACCGAUCGGAUAACCGGAUCGAUGGAUGGAUGUCUCUUCUCUCUCCGUCCUUUGGGUACUCGUUGCCUGAUCAGCUGUUACCGAUCGGAUAACCGGAUGAAUGUCUCUUCUCCGUCCGUUGAGUGGUUUUGAUUGAUACCAGGCUCGCUGUCUCAAGAACGAAAACACCGGACCGGUCUAGCGACGGUUUAUGUUGCCGGAGAAUGCGAAGACGGAGCAGAUAAAGGAGUUCGGAGAACGGCGUUCUGACUGUGACAGUUCUCAAGGAGCAGG